GUCUAUGUCCAUGCCACCCUGAACACACUCCAUCCCAUCUAAUCUCGUAAACUAAGCAGGGUCGAGUCUGGUUAGUACUUGGAUGGGAGACCACCUAGGAAGACCAGGUGCUGUAGGCU
rnacentral:rRNA from 1 species